rnacentral:rRNA from 1 species
AGUCAUACUCUCGUAUCAAAGAUUAAGCCAUGCAUGUGUAAGUAUAAAUAGUUAACUUUGAAACUGCGAAUGGCUCAUUAUAUCAGUUAUAGUUUAUUUGAUGAAGAAUACUAAUUGGAUAACCGUAGUAAUUCUAGAGCUAAUACAUGUAUAAAGUCUUGUAGGCUGCAUUUAUUAUUAAUGAAAACCAUAUUUUUCGGCCUAUUGGUGAGUAAUAAUAACUAAUCAUAUAGUAUGCUUAUGUAGAGAUGUGUCUUUCAAGUUUCUGCCCUAUCAUCUUUAGAUGGUAGUGUAUUGUACUACCAUCGCAGUAACGGGUAACGAAGAAUUUGGUUUCUAUUUCGGAGAGGGAGCCUGAGAGAUGGCUACCACAUCCAAGGAAGGCAGCAGGCGUGUAAAUUACCCCAUCCUGACACAGGGAGGUAGUGACAAUAAAUCACAAUGCUGAACAAUGUUUUGCAAUUGGAUUGAGAACAACGUACAAACCUUAUCGAUAAACAAUUGGAGGGCAAGUCUGGUGCCAGCAGCCGCGGUAAUUCCAUCUCCAAUACCGUAUAUUAUCUUUGUUGCAUUUCAAAAGCUCAGCUCA